rnacentral:rRNA from 1 species
UACGUAGGUGGCGAGCGUUGUCCGGAUUUACUGGGCGUAAAGAGCGCGCAGGCGGUCGUUCAAGUCGCGUGUGAAAGCCCCCGGCUCAACUGGGGAGGGUCACGCGAUACUGAUCGACUCGAAGGCAGGAGAGGGAAGUGGAAUUCCCGGUGUAGUGGUGAAAUGCGUAGAUAUCUGGAGGAACACCGGUGGCGAAGGCGGCAUCCUGGACCAAUUCUGACACUGAGGAGCGAAAGCCAGGGGAGCAAACGGG